GACGAACGCUGGCGGCGUGCCUAACACAUGCAAGUCGAACGGAAAGGCCCUGCUUGCUUGCUACUCCAGUGGCGAACGGGCGGGUAGCACGUGGGUGCUCUGGCCUCUACUUUGGGAUAAGCCUGGGCAACUGGGUCCUUUACCGGAUACCAGCCACUUUCUGCGUGAUGGUUGGAAAGUUCUUCCGGGGUUGGAUGAGCUCGUGGCCUAAUAGCUGAUUGGCGGGGUAAUGGGCUACCAGGGCGCCGAGGGGUCGCCGGCCAGUGAGGGUGGUCGACCACAUUGGGUCUGAGGUACGGCCCAGACUCCGACGGGAGGCAGCAGUGGGGAAGAUUGCACAAUGGGCGCAAGCCUGAUGCAGCGACGCCGCGUGGGGGAUGACGGCCUUCGGGUUGUAAACUCCUUUCGCGAGGGACGAAGCUUUUUGUGACGGUACCUAGAUAAGAAGCACCGGCUAACUACGUG
rnacentral:rRNA from 1 species